rnacentral:lncRNA from 1 species
UGCUCCUUUCUCUCUUGCUGUCUUAAUCCCCUGGAGUUCUUCUGAACUCAAAAGUACUUGUCAAAGUUCCUUGAGUUUGUUGACUGCCUGGCUAUUUAUUUGCUGUUACUACUCUGCUAUCCUAGAGCUUGCAGCUGGUAUAUUCUUCUAUGUUAAAUAGCUCCUUUUUUGUGUUCAACUUCUCUGCUUCUACCCUUCUUUCUUUGUGUGCUUACUUAUGCUUUCCUGCGUUAUGUGAUUAUAAUGUUAUGCCUAAUUGUGCUUUCAAUCUGUUAUGUUUUAAUCCCUUCCCUCCAUCCCUUUGUAUGUGGGUAUUGUGCUGAAUCAUGGUAGCACUUUGAAUUGCUUUCUCUGAUCCAGAACUAGACUCUUCUGAUUCUACUCAAUUUCUUUCCCAUUCCCUCUCCCCUAU